rnacentral:lncRNA from 1 species
UUAAAGUCAGAAACACAUUAUUGAUUAAGUUACAGGGAAACAGAGACCCAUAUACACUGCAGGUAAGAGGGUAACUUGGUCCAUCUAUUUGGCAGAGUUCCUCGGUUUUUUCUACAAGAACAACUUAGCCUUGCCUGAAGGAAAAACCUAGAAGCAAUUUGAAUUCUAGAUCUAUAGCUUAGACAAAAACCAUGUCCAUGAGUGUGAGGAUUCAUGCUGUGGGAGAGUCUCCACGCUCCCCACCCACUCCCAGCCACCAGGCGAGACUCUGUGAAUCACAGACGCCAGGUAUGCCGACAGAAGCGUGUGCUUUUAUUUGUUCUCUGGUCAAAACACAUUUUCCGUGCCCAGCCCUUUUCUGGGUGCCAGGAAUACACAAAGGACCGGGCACAGAGGAAGCAUCCGUGGCAGCACCAAGGCUUCAGCGGGGACUGCGGAUACCUCAGGCUUGUGUGGGAAGUGGACUCCCUGGACACCAGGAAUCCUCAGCUUCAUCACACUGGCAUCAAUCUGUCUGCAGAAAGAACAUUAGAUCAGCACGUCUACCUAUGGGGCAGCCACCUUAUGUCCAGAUUCUCCACCUCAAGUGGGACCCUGGCCAACAAGUUCCAAGGCCAUUUGGGGCAGGAAAGAUGGAGCGCGAGGUGGCAAAAUUGAAGAAUCACUGGUCUUGGGGGCCCACACCAAAGAUGUCUGAGACGGAAGCCUUGCCCCAGGUGACUGACUGCAUUGAACACGGUGGAUGCCAUGCUCAGGUUCCUUCCACACCUUUCAUUGUCUCUCUGGUAAUCUGAGCCUCAGAAGUGAAUAAUGAAUAUCCAAAGUCCUACAGCAAGUUAGGGGCACAGAUGGAGCGGAACACAGUCUGUGGGAAGAAAACACCAAGAGUGUCUUGCUCUGGCACCCAAGAUGGAAAUGAGCGUGGGUGUAGCAGACAAUUUUCAUUUCUUGGCUUGUGAACUUGAGAAUACCAUUCCUAUCUGGAGGGAAUUCCCCUCCACAUGAGUCCUGGUAGUUAGAGACUCAGACCAUCUUUUAUAACAAAGCUGGAAAGAAAGCUGCCUGCUGUCUUGCUUCCCCUGUAGCACAACUUCAUGUGCACAUUUCCUGGGUUCAGAUAAGCAGAUGCACAAACUCUGGACUGGGCUUGAAAGCUCCUGAUAAUAAGAAGAGAGAGAUUAUUCCAGGGCAGCUACAGAAAUGGCAGCUGUAUUGGUCUUCUCAGAAGAGGAACGGAAAUGCUGGCUCAGGC